CCUCGGAGCCAUUGCUAUCGGAGUCCGAUUUAGCCAUGCUAGUUGCACGGGUUUAGACCCGUGGCGAAAAGCUCAGUAACACGUGGCCAAGCUACCCUGUGGACCAGAAUAACCUCGGGAAACUGAGGACAAUCCUGGAUAACGCUCCCCCACUGGAAUGUGGGGAGCCGGAAAUGCUCCGGCGCCACAGGAUGCGGCUGCGGCCGAUUAGGUUGACGGUGGGGUAACGGCCCACCGUGCCCAUAAUCGGUACGGGUUGUGAGAGCAAGAGCCCGGAGACGGAAUCUGAGACAAGAUUCCGGGCCCUACGGGGCGCAGCAGGCGCGAAACCUUUACACUGCACGACAGUGCGAUAGGGGGACUCCGAGUGCGAGGGCAUAGAGCCCUCGCUUUUGUACACCGUAAGGUGGUGCACGAAUAAGGGCUGGGCAAGACCGGUGCCAGCCGCCGCGGUAAUACCGGCAGCCCAAGUGAUGGCCGAUAUUAUUGGGCCUAAAGCGUCCGUAGCUGGCCGGACAAGUCCGUUGGGAAAUCCGCGCGCUCAACGCGCGGGCGUCCAGCGGAAACUGUCCGGCUUGGGGCCGGAAGACCUGAGGGGUACGUCCGGGGUAGGAGUGAAAUCCCGUAAUCUCGGACGGACCGCCUGUGGCGAAAGCGCCUCAGGAAGACGGACCCGACAGUGAGGGACGAAAGCCAGGGUCUCGAACCGGAUUAGAUACCCGGGUAGUCCUGGCUGUAAACGAUGUCCGCUAGGUGUGACGCAGGCUGCGAGCCUGCGCUGUGCCGUAGGGAAGCCGUGAAGCGGACCGCCCUGGGAAGUACGUCUGCCAAGGAUGAAACUAAAAAGGAAUUGGCGGGGGGAGCACUACAACCCGGAGGAGCCUGCGGUUUAUUGUC
rnacentral:rRNA from 1 species